AGAUUGAACGCUGGCGGCGUGCCUAACACAUGCAAGUCGAGCGGUAACAGGUGUAGCAAUACAUGCUGACGAGCGGCGAACGGGUGAGUAAUGCUUUGGAAUCUUCCCAGUAGUGGGGAAUAACCAGUCGAAAGAUUGGCUAAUACCGCAUACGUCUGUAAAGGGAAAGCGGGGGCUCGUAAGACCUCGCGCUAUUGGAUGAGCCAAAGUCGGAUUAGCUAGUUGGUGGGGUAAUGGCCUACCAAGGCGACAAUCCGUAGCUGGUCUGAGAGGACGACCAGCCACACCGGAACUGAGACACGGUCCGGACUCCUACGGGAGGCAGCAGUGGGGAAUAUUGGACAAUGGGGGAAACCCUGAUCCAGCGACGCCGCGUGUGUGAAGAGGCCUGCGGGUUGUAAAGCACUUUUUAGUGGGGACAAAAGCUACGGACUAAUAUUCUGUGGUCUUGAUUUAACCCAAAGAAAAAGCACCGGCUAACUCUGUGCCAGCAGCCGC
rnacentral:rRNA from 1 species